rnacentral:rRNA from 1 species
ACUCAAAUGAAUUGACGGGGACCCGCACAACCUGUGGAGCGUGUGGUUCAAUUCGAGACAAAACGAAGAACCUCACCAAGGUUUGACAUACUACCGUACAUUUCCCUAGAAAUAGGGAGAAAUCCGUAAGGAUGGUAGUACAGGUGCUGCAUGGCUGUCAUCAGUUCGUGCCGUGAGGUGUUCCCUUAAGUGGGGAAACGAACGCAACCCGCGCCAAAUGUUAAAUAUUCAUUUGGGACUAUCCUGUAAUUUUUACAGGGGGGAAGGAGCGGCAGAUGUCAAGUCAGCACGGCCCUUAUACCUUGGGCAACACACACACUACAAUGGCGAAUAACAACGUGCAGCAAGCCGGCGACGGCAAGCAAAUCACUUAAAUUUCGCCUCAGUUCAGAUUGGAGUCUGCAACUCGACUCCAUGAAGCCGGAAUAGGUAGUAAUCGCAGAUCAGCAAGCUGCGGUGAAUACGUUCUCGGGUCUUGUACACACCGCCCGU